rnacentral:lncRNA from 1 species
CUCAUCAGCUAAAACACCAUGGAAGGGCUUCUUCAAGCUGGUUCUUCAUAUUUUUAUUACAAGUAAGUUCAAUUCUUGACUAUUUCUUGAAAUUUUUGUAUUUUUAUGACCUUUACAACUAGGCCCACUUGUUAAAUUCAUUAGUUUUUGAUUUUAUGAAAGAAGUUGAAAGUUGAUAUGAAUAUGUUCUGGAAUUAUAUGAUGAUUUAGCAUGAAAUUAGAGCUUUAAAUUGUUCAUAUGCUGAUUUUAUUGAAAGAAUUAAAUAGAAAGUGAAUGUUUGGGACUUAAUAGUAAAAGAGUUUGAAGAUAGAGUUAUAUGUGGAAAUUCUGAAUUUCAAUAGUUGUGUAACAACUUAUAAUAUCUAGGUAAAGUAUUAAUUGAGAAAAUUAGAUUAAUUGAGGGGUUAAUUGAGAAAGGACCGAAUUGUAUAAACUGUGAAAUUUGGGGCAAAAUGGAAAUCAACAUUUUGCACUAAAGCUGUUUUGGACAGCAGCAGUAGUGUAACUUUGAAAAAUCACAAAAAAUUGUAGAGAUUGAAUUAUAGGAUGAAUAAAAUAUGAAACUAAAGCUUAUUGAGUCUAGUUUCUUAUAAAAGAAACGGUGUGAGUAAUGGAAUUGUAAAUCAUGAGAUAUAAUAGAUUUUGUGAGACAAGGUCAGAAUGAAUUCGGAUUCCCCUGUUCUGACUUUGGGAAAUCAUUAAAAAUUGUACAAAAAUGAUUAUGAGUUAUAAUUUAUAUGGUUAGAAUCCUUAAUGAGUCUAUUUUUAGAAGAAAUAAACAAAAACAUCAUCCGAAUUCUGUACAAUGAGAUAAUUAAUUUUUAGUGAAGAGUGGUCGGAACUGUCAGACAGCGAAAUAGGGGAAAAUUUAAAGAAUAAACUGUACUAUUUGGCUAAACCAAAAAUUCUGAAAAUUUUAUGGUAUGAAGAUAUGCGAGUCUAGUUUCAGAGAAAAUUAACGGAUCUUAAUUUGGAACUCUGUAGCUCCGGAUAAAAAUAAUUUAGUGACUCUGACUCAGACGGACAGCUUGAAUUUUACAUACAAGAAAAUAGUGAAAGUAUGAAUAAUGUUGUUUAAAUGUGUUAUACACAUUAAGGAUGAGGAAUGGAGAGGAGGUGGAGGAAAAAUUUGGAAAUAUAUGAAUGAUUUGUGUAUAAUUGGUCAUAUGUUUGAUUAUAAUUGAUAGAUGAUGAAAUAGAAAUGAUGCUUACAUUUGUGCAUUAUUGGACAUGGUUUAAGCUCAUGUGUGAAAAUAAAGUUUCAUAGCAUGUGUGUCUGGUAUAUUCGGUAUAUGAUUUGGCAUGAAAUAAUGUCAUGAAUGGUUUAUCAUGUGGUUAGUUCCAAAAAGAGUUAUGUUUCAAUACACUAACUUGCAACUAUGGUUGAAUGAUAUGUUUAUAUUUUGUGUGAUGUGCAUAGGAAACAAGUGUGGAAAGAUAAUGAAAUAGUAAGUUCAUAUGGCUGAAAUUUAAUGGUUAAAUGUUAAUUUCAUGAAUUAUAUAAUGUAUGAUGAAAUAUUUUUAUUGUUGAAAUGAGAAUAAAAUAAAAGUGCGAAAGCUGAAUAAAUGAUCAAAUUGAGCGGAACGCCGGAUUUGAGUACUUCUGAUCAAGUGACAAAGUGAUAAGUGGUAGCUUUAGCUACACUUAUCUGAUCAAGAACAAGUGAUAAGCGGUGACAAAGUGAUAAGUGGUAGCAUUAGCUACACUUAUCUGAUCAAGUGAGAAAGUGAUAAGUGGUAGCCUUAGCUACACUUAUCUGAUCAAGUGACAAAGUGAUAAGUGUUAGCCUUAGCUACACUUAUCUGAUCAAGUGAGAAAGUGAUAAGUGGUAGCCUAGCUACACUUAUCUGAUCAGGGACAAGUGAUAAGUGAUCAUAUGUAAGACCAUAGUUAUACUAUGGCAAAGUGAAAGUGAAGUACUCAAUUUUCCGUAACCGUUCCCUAAUUUGAUUAAGGAUGGUAAGUGACAAUGGGCCCAAAAGAAUUAAAGUAAAUGGAUAAGUGGUAGUGUAUUUAUAUCAGGACGAUGUUGUUAUUCAAGCUAAAGUGAUAUUUUCAUUGCAAAAUUGAGAAUUUCAUAAAUGUGUUAUUGAAUGGUGUAAUGAAUAAACAUCGAGUUAAAUGGUAAAUACGUAUUAGUGUUGAACUUGAUGUCAUUGAAUUGUACGUGAAUUAAAUGGAAAUUGCUAGUGAUAUGAUCUAAAUUGUGAGCAUGAGAAAUUGCGAAUUGAAGGAAAUGGAAAUGAAGCAUUGAAUUGCAUGAGAAUGUAUCGGGUCUCGUAAGCCCUAAUUAUUAUGAUUAUAACAUUUUGAGGAUAUACUGUGAAAAGUUAUAGGAGCAUGUUAAUUAUUUUGAAAGUUUUAAUUUAGAUGAAAUUUUAUAACUCGGUUAAAUACGUUUACAAGUGCAUGUGUUUUGGUAAUGCCUCGUACCCUAUUCCGGUAUUGAAUACGGGUAAGGGGUGUUACACUCUUUGGGUCCUUGAUAAUUUUGAAAAUGUGCAAAUUGGUACCUUUCAAAGAGAAAAUAAAAAAAAAUCAAAAUAAUAUUCUAAAAUUCAAAUAUUUAUACAAUAUUGUUUUCCAAAGUUUUAUAAAUAUAUAUAAAUUAAAAAGAUUAUUAAAAAUCUAAAAAUAUAUAAAAAUGUUAAUUUAUAUAUUUUUAAAAUUUUCAAGAUAUAAAUUUGAGGCAUUAAAUAAAUAAAUUAUCAAUUCAAGUUUAUCAUACUAAUUACUUUAUGUUGUUUUAAAAGAAUUUAAUCAUAUUGUCAACGAGAUUUUAAUAUAACCAAUUUAAUUUUUUUUAAUUUAACUUAGAACAAAUUUAUUCGAUUCGACUCAAUUCGAAUUGCAUUUCACUCGAUUUAAUAAAAAAAUUAAUCAAUUUAAAAAAAUAAAAUAAAACUCGUUUACUCGACUAACUUAAAAUUUCUUAAUGUUCACCCUUAUUAGGAAGGCACAUAUAUGAGUGACAAAAGCUUGAAUAUCAACUUAUGAGCAUAGUCUAAUGGUUGGCAUGGUUAUUAGUUGCUCUUAAAAGUCGCAUAAUCUAUUGAUUGACAUUGUUAUUGGUUGACUUAUAAUAGUGAGGAAUAGUGUAAUGGUUGUUCAUUUCGUUACUUAGCCAUAAGUUUAGGAUUCUUACUCAUUUUGAAGAGCACCGACCAAAAAAUUCACAUAGCUAGCGAGAGUUGACUUUGGUGCUAUAUCACUAGAUUUUUAGCCUCCUAAUGAUUUCCCAUCUCCUGUUUAGAGAGACGCAUUAAAAGUGUAAUUAUACACAAUAGGACAACAAUAUAUAGUGGAUAUUCUAACAGGAAAAGUCUCAUCUUUCUAGAAUGUCUCUCCCGCUGCCGGAGUAAAUGCACCAUUGCCAGCAGCGAAGUAAAGCACGCAUCGGUUUCCGGUGCCAUGUUUAAUGUGUCCACAAGCAUUAUAGGUUCUGGAAUUACAUUGUCAUAAUUCCAGUCAUUGUUACAGCUUUCACAUUCCAUUUCAAUGCUGAAGAACACUUUGACCUCAUAAAUUGUUGUUGUAUACUUGUAUGGAAGUUACGUUUAUGCCUCGGUUUCGAGAUGGAUAAACUUUCCUAUAUAAUAUCAACGGUCCGAAUAUCAUCGGUCAUAUAUGCUGCCAUCUACUUCACUAUAGAAAAGCCGCACUACACAGUCUAAUACUUGAGUGAACAUGUAAAGGAAACAAAGCCAAUGCCACAAUGUGUGAAAAUUUGAAUUUCAUUGUCGAAUCCUUUUUUUUAAAUCAAUGGUUUUAAAACAAACGAAAAAUGAGAGUCGCUACCAAUCCUUUUUUACUUAGGUGUGAUCGGAUCUCCUCGUAAUUCAAUCAUUUUAAUAAAAGUUUAAAUUUACUAAAACGAUGAUUCUUGGUCUACAAAAUCCAGAAAAUGGGUUCGAGAGUCGGUUACGCACGAGGAAGGAUUAGCACCCUUGUAACGCCCAAAAUUGAUACCUAGUUGACUAAUUAAAGUCUUAGUGUCGUGAAUCAAAAAUUUGAACAAGUUUAAAAUACGAUCCUCUUUACAUUAAGGCACUAUCUAACUAGAAUAAUUUUCGCGAAAAGGGUUCAUUUCAAGUUAAUCGAGAAAAAAGAUCGCUUCCCGUAAGAGGACACCAUGCCUUAAAUCCUCGAGAACGAACACUAAAAUCUUAUUUUUAUUUAUUUUAAGAUAGAUAUUCGACCAUCUCAGGUUUAGAAUGAAGCCAUAUCCCGUAAGUUAGGAACAUGACCUUUCUAAUUCCAAAAUAAUGAAUAUUUACGUCGUUUUAAAAAUUUUCCUUUUUGUGCCUUGUGCAAAAAACUAAUGUAAUACUUAAAGUAAUGUACUUUUAACUUGUUUGGGCAUAAGGUAAAUGAAUGAAUAUAUAACGGCAUUGUAAUUAACAAAAUAAAAUGAAGCUGUGAUUAAAUGAUAUCAUGAUAAUAAAUAAAUAAUAAAAAAUCUAAAAAUGUCAUGCUUAGCGAAUAAUGCUAACGCGACAUCAAUUUGUGGUAAUAAUGGCAAAAUUCGCAUAAUAAAAUAUAAAAGUAUAAUAGUAAUAAUAAAUCAUAAUACUAAUAUGCAUAAUAGAAUAAUAAUAUUAAUAAUAUUAAUAAUAAUAAUCUAAUUUUUUUGAAAGUUAAAAGCAGUAAAUAAAUAAGUAAUAAAUAAUAGAAUAAUAAUAACAAUAAUAAAGGCAAAAAAAAUCACAAUAAAUACAAAAAUAAACCGAAUUUAAAAAAAAGAAAUGAUAAGUAAAUAAAUAAAAUAAAAAUACAUAAAAAUAAAAAUCUAGACAGGGUCGAAAUUAAAUAAAAGGAUUACAUUGACAUUAAAGUGAAAUUAAGAGUCUAAAUCAAAAUAAAACAAGUUCAUGAAUAUAAGAGAGACUAAAUUGAAACCUAAAUAAACUUUUAGGGGAGAAAUCGAGAUAAAAAUAAAAUAAAGGACUAAAUUGUAACGCUAUAAAAAAGAAUAGGGGCUGCAAGGGAAAAUAUCCCGACCUUCCUUAUGCCCACCGUUUUAAAGGACCAAAAUAAAAAAAUUAAAUGGGAUAAAUUUAAAAAACAAAAAAAGAAAUAGGGCUAUAUUGCAAAGUGUGUAAAUAUCAGAAGGACCAAAAGCGGAAUUAGACCCCCUAAAGCAAAACACUAAUACAAUAUACAUAUGCCAAAAAUCGAUACCAUUGAUUGCAAACCGGGCUAAUCUAGAAGCUGCAAUUCUUUUAAACAAGGGAUCCUUAAUAUGCAAAAGUGACACAGACUUGUGCAUCAACUAAUCUCUUGCAAGUACAUAUAGGUUUUGUAUAUAGUUCAAUACAAAGAAUCUUGAGUUUGGUAUAAUAAACAGUAAUAGUGAACUGAUCUUGAGAUAACUUGGAGAGAUUCUUGCGAAAGAUUAGAGAUAUUCCAAUGAAACAAUCUUCAAGAUUCUUCCAAAUAUCGAAAGCGGAAUCACAAUCCAAGAUGCUGGGGGCUAUUGCUUUGCAUACAGAGUUCUUGAUCUAAGGAAAAACCAUGUGAUUCGAUAUUGUCCAGGCACGAAGUGAUGAAACCAAGCUUGUUCUUGGCAGAAAAUGCCAUCAAAAUCCAACGUUUCCAGGUGUCAUAGUUUAAAGCCGUGGGAGGUUGAAAAAUGAGCUAUAGAUCGGGAUUGUUAGAUUGAAGGAGGUAAUAUGGAUUGCUUUCAUGAAAAAGAAAAUCAGCCGUAGUAGAAAAAGAUUGAAAAGGAACUGUUUGGAUGCCAAGAAAAAAGAUAAAGAAAAUUAAACUAAUCAGAGAGUAGAUUUCCAACAAGGUAAAAAAAUAGAGGAACAUUGCAUGUAAUGAAAUUUAUAGCUCAUUCGACAAGAAGUAACAGAAAUAAGGCCUCCUAGGACAAAAUUUGCCUUUUAGAAAACAUCAUUAAACUAUCUUUUCCAGGUUUUUGUUACAUCUCAUAAGACUUCGGUUUGGUCAUAAAAAGGAAGGGAAAGCAACUAUAUGUGAAUUUAACUAUCAUAAAAACAAAAGGAAAGCAUUUAAAGAUUGAAGAUGGAUCCAGCUUGGUCUCCCAUUAAUGGCAACAGGUGAAAAGCCUUCUCAUUUGCCUCACCGAAAAAUUUGAACAGUCGAUAUCCUUGGAAACAAAUUCUCUCUAUUUCCUGUCCACAAGAACAUUCACGAACCGUCAUCAAACAUGCAAGUGAGCACGAUAAUAAUGUUUGGAAAACAAAUACAUAUGAACAUUAUCAGCUUUCAACUGACCUUCCACUCUUGGCUGAUGGGGGAAUUAGGCCUCUUUUCUCUAAGCUUUUAAAUCUAUCUCUUGCAAGUGUAGCACAACCCUUUAUGCAACAUACAAAAACCACAAUGGAGAAAGUUAAUUUUCAUUACCUAAGAGUAAAAGAAUUUGAUGUUAAAAAGGAUGUCAAACGACGUUACCUUUAGCUUACGGAGAGAUCCAGUAAGUUCUUCGGAUAAGAGGACUUGUGGGGGAGCAGGCUGGAAUCUGGAAUUAUAAACAAUACAGAUCAAUCGGGCAUAUGAAAAUGUACUGCAUUAUCUUCAGCUCAUUCAAUGCAAUAUGUGAAAUCGAACAUUCAGAUGGAAAACAUUUCAAAAGCCAAGGUGUUGGACAAGCCUUACGUCUUUCUUGCUUAAAAAAAUGAGAACUUUAUAUGUUUGCAUACUUAAAAAAAUGAGAACUUAAAAAAAUGCUUGCAUACUUAUAUUUCCCUAAGCGUGGUGGACAAGACUUAAGUCUUUCUUGCUUAGCUAUGGCCUUUCGAAGAUGCCUCUUUUGCUUCUCCUCAUCCUCUUUGGCUAUUUCUUGUAAAAUAUCUGGCAAGCUGCAUCGAGAAGAACCAACAGGUGAUGAACAUAUGUUCUGCAAUAAGUAGAUUAUACAUAUAGUAGAGACAAAGCUGAAAUGUACUUGUCAAUGUCUUUGGAAAACUCCACUGCCUUUUUAGUUUCAGCUUCUUUUUUUUGCUGUUCUUUCCUUCUAGCUCUCUUAUUUAACUCGACUCGAGUCACCCUCUUUGUUUUAAGAGGCCUGCAGCAUGAUAGAAGCAAAAAUUAACAUGCAAAUAAAGUGUUCCCCGAUAUUGAGUUCCUUAAGCUCUUGGGAAACCCCAAAAGAUAGCCACGCACAUAGGAAUGCUGGUUAGAGAUUACAGAACUUUGAGUCCCAUCUUCUCACAUAACCCUAAAACCCCAUAUUUCCCGAGGCAAAAAGAUGUAGUAACAAAUACACAAGGAAUUACAACAACAGCGAUACUAAAAUAGACUAACCUUUUCUCAGUUGCUUUAUCAUCCUCACUCAAAUUCUCCUCGUCCAUUUGGUCGUCAUUUCCAUCAUCUGCUUCAAUAAAGUAUUUCUAACAAAAGAAGAUGGUUUAGAGUUUCAUAACCACAACUUAUUAGUGUUUAGGAUUGCAAGUAUGAAGAAUAAUUAGUACAUGAAUGUAACAAAUAGACACUCACAUCAUCUUCAUCAACCACUUCUCCCAUAACAGUUAAUGGAACCGGCUGAGGUCCCAACUCGAUCUUGUAGGCCUUUUGCAUUUCUUCAGCAACCGCUUGAGCCAACGAAUCCUGAUGACUAUCAAAUGUGGGAUUGUAUGAACAUCCCGGAGGCUCAACUUCAACUGCUGGAAUAAUCGAUUGUUUAGAUACCUGUCUAGCUUUGCCACUAUGUUGACCUGAAAGUCCAUAAAGAGAAUCAAAUUCACCAUGAGGAAAAAAAAGCUCAAAACUUUAAAACUUCUAAACAAGGGAUAUUACCUUCAUCUCCCCAUAUAGGAACCAUACCAGAGUCAGGGACGGUUUCAUCCUACAACCAAAACAAAUCAACAAUCAAAUACUUAUUAAUAAAAAGGGAUAAGUAUCAAAACCAUACAUGAACUUUGAUGCAAUGUGUAAUCACUAACAACAUUAUAUAAUUGGCACCAUUUUCCGUUGAUAUAUUGCAUGCACAAAUAAUUACAUUAAAAUCCAACAUGAAAAAUCAUGUAUACAUAUGAACAAUUCAAGUUUCAUGUAUAUAAUUGCACACAAAUCAAAAUUCAUGUAUCAAAUGACAAAUUGGACCAAAGUUCUCACCUUGGGAACAUCUUGAACUACAUCUUUAGCAUUCAAAGCUUCCUUCUUUUUCUUCUUAGAACUCUUUUGCUUCGAAGAUGGUACAGCUUCAACAAAAGGGUUCUUCUUCAACAUACUAUCCACACGCAAUACCUUUUCUCUUUUCUUCUCAAUCUUUUUUUUCACAGAAAGAUCUGAUAAAACAAAGAAACCCCAAUUAACAAAACUGAAUUACAAUUAAGAAAAAAACAAAACAAAACAAAAAGGGUGUUAUGUAUUUAAAAAAAAAAAGACCUUGAGAUUUGUCGAUGAAGAAGAGAGAUUCAGUAGGAGCUGAAGUAAGAGAACCACCAGAGAGAGCAUCUUUAGUGGAUUUCUCGAAGAAAUCAUGGAUGUCUUCUGUGCUUAUGUUAGCUCUCCAUGCUUUUUUACCCUUUCUUGAGGUUUUUGAUUUCUUCCCCAUUUUUUUCCUGGUUAGGAGGGUGGCUUCGCGGCUGUGGAGUUAAAAGGAAGGAGACCGACGAAACAGAGGGUUUUUGCAUAAGCUGUUUGGUUUUCGUGUUUUAAAACGAUGUCGAGUUGUUUGAUUUUGGUAAAAUUCUAAUUUUGGUUCCUCUAUAAUGUUAACCAUUGAAAUUGAGUCUCUAUAUUGUAAUUUUACAUAACUUCUCCCUUAUUUUUAUAAUUUCAUUAGCUAGUGUAAUUAUUAAAUUUGUCCUUAGUUUCUCUACUUUAAUUUAUCAGGAUUUGGUUCUCGUACUUUAUGAAAAUCAAGAUGUUAGUCUAAUUGGGUGACACUUAUAAACAUUGACGUUAAAUUGGUGACUUGAAAACCAACGGUUCAACAAUUUAUCUGCACUGAAUUUGUAAUAAAAAAUAGAUAUUAAACAAUUUAUUUGCAACAAAUUAAUAAAAAUAAAUAUUUCAAGUCUAUAUGUUUACCAACAAAUUGACUAACUUCUUAGUUUUAGUAAAAUAUAAGGACUAAAUUAUGAAAAAUUAAAGUAAAGAGACUAACUUUUCAUUUUUUAAAUAGAGGGAUGAAAUUUGUAAUAAAAUUGUCAUGAGCUAGUUGAAAUAAUUUAAAAAAAACACUCUUCUAACAUGUUAGGGUGAUAUUGAUUUUAAAAAAAUUCAAGUCAAGAUUUUAAUUAAAAUAGUUAAUAAUGUUAACUAUUUAAAUUAAAUAAUAACAUUAUAAAAAUUAACAAUCCCAAAUUAAAGUAUAAAAAUCAAAUUUCAAAUUUGAACAUAACAAAGGGACUAAACCAUAAUUUGACCCUUAAUUUAUUCUCUUUACGGCGGGCCCUAUUUAAAACAUAAUGCAGGUAAGUUCAGCCCAUUGAAAAUAAACCUACGAAGAAUUUAAGCCCAAAUCAAAAUAGUUGGCCAGUUGCUGCACUUCAUACUAUCUUAUAUAUAACUUACAUAAAAAAGAACAGAAAUAGCUGAAGAUGAUUAAACUACCUACCAGUAAUGUCCAAAUAGUUGCUGCUUUUUUGUGUUGAUGGUGAUCCAUUUCUGUGAUGAAGUAUUCAUGUAAAUUUAUUACAUCCACUGCUAAUUGCUUGAGUUCCUACAUGAUGCAUGUUCUCAAUGGGGUUGUCUUUGCUUUUCUUCUCUUGUUGUGUGGCUACUAUCAGUUUUAACACUGCUUUCAUCACCUUCUAAAUUCAACCACUGUUUAAUGCCUUUUCAGUCUUCUUCUUUCACUGUCCUUGAAAACCCUAAACUGAAAUAUCAGUCCAACGUUACGAAGUAACAACAUCAUCAUUGUUGCAGUCAAUCUUGAAGUUGUUGAAAAUGGCUCCCUAAACAAAUUUUCUAUUGGCAAAUUGAUUUCUCUCUCGAUAAAUAUGCAGAAGUGAGGCUUCUUA